GUCCUCGUGGUGUAAUGGUCAGCACACUCGGCGCGUAUUCGAAAGGUCCUAGGUUCGAGUCCUGGCAAGAGCA
rnacentral:tRNA from 1 species